rnacentral:rRNA from 1 species
UACGAAGGGGGCUAGCGUUGUUCGGAUUUACUGGGCGUAAAGCGCACGUAGGCGGAUUGUUAAGUGAGAGGUGAAAUCCCGGAGCUCAACUCCGGAACUGCCUUUCAUACUGGCAAUCUAGAGUCCGGAAGAGGUGAGUGGAACUCCUAGUGUAGAGGUGGAAUUCGUAGAUAUUAGGAAGAACACCAGUGGCGAAGGCGAGUCCCUGGACAACUCCUGACACUGAGGCACGAAAGCUAGGGGAGCAAACAGG